AGCAAGGGAGUGACAUGGGCUGCUCCUUGGUUUUAAAAGACUUCUCUGGCUGAGUGGGCAGAGGGAGUUUCUGGGUGGUGGGAGGGAGGCUUCUGCACCAAUACAGAUAAGCAACAAUGGUGGUAGAAGGAGGUGGAGGCAGAAGGGAGGACUCAGAGGCCCCUCUGAGCUUCAGGGGGCCCAGCAGGAAGUUGGUGGUCAGGAGGCCCAGCAGGAAGCCUACGACCCCCGUGCCCACCCCCACACUGUGCAGGCCUGUGGCCACCGCAGGGCUGGGAAACGUGCCUGGAAUGUCAGCCACCAGGCCCAAGUGGGACUGUGCCUGUGGGACCCGCCUGGCCAGGGCAAGCACCCUGGCCACAGCCCUGCCCACACAUGGAAUCCCUCGGGCCCACUGAACUGGGAACCCGGAUGCAGCCUCGGAACCCUGCUCAACACAGCUCUGCAGCCACUGCCAAUCCAAGCACCCGAGGUCUGAAUGAGAAAACUGAGGCCCAGAGAGGAGUAGACAGGAAGUAAGUGAACCAGAACUCCAAGCCAGUUCUCUCAAGAGGCAUCCCUGUGCCCCUGUCUCCAGGCAGGGGUCCAUCCAAGAGGUGGUUGGAAGGCUCCAGAAGGACACUGCCCGCAGCAGAGAAUUAUCUCGUUCAAACUGCCAGUUGCGUCACAGAUGAGAAACCCUGCAGAAGAGUAAGGGGUGAGCCCCAAAUCUCUGGACAACUGCCCCACGUCUUCUCACUGACCCCAAGGGCAGCUGAUGCUAUUUUGGAGGAAACAACAAAGGGGAAACAUAUGGCAAGACACCCAUUUCUCAGAAAGUCUGGGUUGGAAGUCAGGAGACCUGGGUUCAAGUCCCACAUCUGCCUCUGACUCACAGUGUCACCUUUGGCCACUCACUUCCCCUUGUCUGGCCCUCAGGUUCCCCAUCCGGGGGUGAGGGGGUUGGACCAGCUGAUGUCCCAAGCCUUCCCCAGUUGACAAGAUGCUGUUGAAAUCAGGGCUAGGGAUAUUAUGCCCCCUUCCCAGCCCACCUCACUGUCCUAAAAGCACUAAAGUCCUGAGAGGGCGGCCACAUUCCCAGCUAAUAAACUCACAUGCCGUCUAACACGCGGCUUUGGCACCUCACGCUGCAAUGACCUGUUACCUGUGUUUCUCAAAGUGAGACUGUGGGGCAAGGUGUGCGGGCACCCUGCUUUGAGCUGCCUGAGCCAAAGUGCCCAAGCUCUGGGCUGGAAGUGAAUCACCAUGAGUUUGCACUUUGUAUAUUGUAGUCAUUCAUAACAUUGGUCUUUGUUUAUAAUAAUCACCAUGGGAAUGAAAUUAAAAUUCCUCACACCUUCCUUAGAGGCCCUGCAGGACCCGACCCUCUCACUUGCUCUGUUUCAGCCACAAUGGCUGCCCCACUAUUCUCUGGACCCACUUAACUUAUUCCUACCUCAGGGCCUUUGCCCUGGCUAUUCCUUCACCUUUGGCACCCCUCUUUAAGGUCACAGCUGCUUCUCAGGGAGGCCCUCUCUGGUCCCCCUAGUUAAGAAGGUCCUGGUCACUCUCUAUCACACCUCCAUACUUUAUCUCCUCUAAGCCUUUACCAUGGUCUGAAAUGAUGCUGUUUGCUUACUAUCUAUCUGUCCAAAAACAGGGGUUUUGUCUGCUUUGUUCUGUGAUGUGACCCCAACACUCUGCGAGGGCCUGACACAUAGUAGGGUCUCAUAGUAGAGGCACAGUGAAUCAGUGAAUAAGACUAGAAUCAUAGAAAUCCUCAGCUGUGGCCCUAGUCUUGAACUGGAGCAUCUGGCAUUUAUUGAGCACUUACUGUGUGUUGACCACUAUGCUACAGCUUCAUCCCUGGGGUGGGUGGUUUCAUGGUCUCCAUUUUGCAGAUAAGACUAAAGCUCCAGGCUUCAGAGCCUCAGAGGAUAGCGUGCCUUGAACCCAGUCUGAGAACUCCAGGGUUUGGGCUACUUCCACCUACCCGGUUAUGCAGUGAGAGAGACACUGGGAGGGGAACCGGGCUUCCCCCCCACACACUCCUUUUAUCUAAGACAGAGCCUCCUGAGCACCACCCUGUCCCCACCGCCUGGUGGAGCAACUGGGGCCAGGAUGGGAGCUGGGUGUGUGGACAGCCUGGCCUUAUGCCAGUCAGUGCCAGGAACUGGCUUGGGGAGCAAAAAGUCUGGAUCCAGCCUGGUGGGGGGUGAUGCAGGCCACUUGUCCCAAAUGGGCUCCUGGUGUUCUGUGGGGCAUAGAGGGUGGCAGCAGGCACAGGGUACCUCUGGGAGCCCCAAGGUUCAGGCCCCUGCCUGCCUUCCCCUGGAGGUAGAGCAAACCCUAGGGUCCUGGUCUAGCCCUUGCUCAGUUUCAUGAUCUCAGCCUGGCACAGUUCAAGUCAUUCCACAAGCCUUCUCCAAGCAGCCCAGACCCAGAGCUGGGUGAUGCCAAGCAUAGAACAAACUCUGGCUCCCAAAGUCUGCCCUUGAGGGGCCGCCAGGGUGGGCAGGGAAGUAGCAGGUAAACAAUAACCAAAAGUCAGCCUGUAAGUCCUCAGUGCAGAUCCCUCCUUAAACACUUGAUGGCUGUGUGUCCUUGGGCAAAUCUCUUAACUUCUCUGGGCCCCAUCUGCUUCCCUGGAGAUAAUUGUGCCUCCUACUCCAGGAGAGAUCCCAGCGCAGGAGCUGGCAGAUGGGCAGGGCUGCUGAUUCAAGUGGAAGCUUUCCAAAUUCAAGAUCUACUCUGGAAACAGGAAGGAAGGAGAAGACGGGGCAGCACAGGUUUCCCCUCCAGCUGGGGAAGCUCCCCAGUCCCCCUCCUACACCCAGAGGAGGCACCUGCCUAACUGGGACUGGAACACCGUGGGAGUUUGGCACAGAAAAGCAGAGGGAAGGGCACUCCAGGCAGAAGGCACAGCCCGGGCAAAGGGUGGGUGUUUUGCUGGUAAGCCUCCUUCUGCCCUUGGGUCUCAGUUCAAAUGUCACCUCCUCAUAGGGGCCCUCAUGCUCACCCCCUGUCCUCCUUCUAAGCAUCAGGCCUAUUUUCCUCCUUGAACGAAUGACAAUCUUUCUCAUUUGUUUAUUAUUUGUCUCCCUUGCCAAGCUCCCCCAGUGCAGGGACAAUGCCUGUCCUGUUCAAUGCUCUGUCCCAGAGUCUAGCACAGCACCUGGCAUGCAACAGAUGCCUAGCAACACAAUGCCCACAAUUUGAACAAGCUACUCUCCCAUUCUGUGCUUCAGUUUCCUCAUCUGGGAAAGCAUCACAAUUAACACCCACCUCUUAGGGUUGUUGCAAAAAUUAAAUGAGCCAAUGUUUGUAGAGCCCUAGAACAGUUCCUGGCCCACAGUAGGUGCCCUGCAGAAACGUAAAUAAAACACACAUGAACACAUUACAGAGAAUUACAGAUGCAUAGAUUAGAAAGUCAUAAUAUUGUUGGUCACCGAGUUGUACAAUCUAUUACACUGUGGUUUAUGUUUACAUUUCAUUUUCUAUUUUACUUUUUCCUGACUUUUUAUUUUGACAAAUUUUAAUCCAUAGGAAGUUAAAAAA